rnacentral:lncRNA from 1 species
GCAGUAAGCCAUGCUUUAGCCUCUGACCUGUGCUCCAAUUUUGGUACAAUGAUUUCUGCCAUGUUCUCCAACAGAAAAGGAACUGCAUGUGUUUUUCUGCCUCUUGCAGAUGUAUGUCAUAAAAGUUGGAUGCCUUCCUUUCAAGACAUUUGAAUGGAUCACCAAAUAAUUACCUACUUUUCUCUCACAACUCAGAUAAAUAAUUAAAAGGAGAUAUACA